UACGUAGGGAGCAAGCGUUGUCCGGAAUCAUUGGGCGUAAAGCGCGCGUAGGUGGCUUCGUAAGUCCGUUGUGAAAGUCAAAGGCUCAACCUUUGAAAGCCGAUGGAUACUGCGGAGCUAGAGUACGGAAGAGGCGAGUGGAAUUCCUGGUGUAGCGGGUGGAAUGCGCAGAUAUCAGGAGGAACACCAAUGGCGAAGGCAGCUCGCUGGGACGUGACUGACGCUGAGACGCGAAAGCGUGGGGAGCAAACAGG
rnacentral:rRNA from 1 species